GAUAGUUUGGUUUUGAAAGCCCUUUCUCCUACGUUACAGCUGUCAAAUUCUGGUGUAAGAGGAAUAUAGAAUCUAUGUAAAAUAUUGUCUCGAGUUGCAAUUGAUCCUGUGUUUUAAUUUCUGGGGGAAAACAUUCUCAUGCUAGGAAUUUUAGCAGGUUUCUUAUAUGGUUAGACAAUUCAUUUUAUAGAAGUUUCUGAUGUGUGGCCAAAUUCAAUUCAGGUUCAUAUUUUGUAACUAUAAAAGUCAUUGUUGAUUUUUUUUUCCUGAAUGAAGGAGAUCGAAAAUGAAGCAGAGGAAUUCCUCAAAGAGCUGGAGCAACGUUGUCAGGACCUGGAUGUAGAUCUUUGAUGGCAAACGUUCUCUGCCCUUUUCUUCGGUAAAGGUGGCGCAGUCGUGUGUGGAGACAGUUGAUUUAGGCCAGGAUAGUUUGGUUUUGAAAGCCCUUGCUCCAGUGUGAUUAUUGUCAAAUUCUGUUGCAACUCAAAGUGGCUGAACUGCCUCCAAACAGACUCCGGGGGUGAACCCUGCCCAUCAGUCUGAGACUCCGCAGCCUUCCCCGAGGCAGGCAGCGUCGGUUUCCUGUCUGUUCAUGGCAUUCCUUCCAGUCCGCUUCGCUCCUUCUGCCACCCAUCUUUCAAUUUCCACGCAACAAACAAACAAUCUUCCAUUAUCAUAUAACCAGCGGGCAUGGGCACCCUUCACACCACCGGCGCCCUCUGGAGGUUGCUCUUGGCCUCUUUGGGUACAGGGCCACCGGGAGACUCAGGCUCAUCAUCCUCCUGGCAGGUCUCCCCUUUUUGAUUCUUACUCCUUCCAACAUUUUCUUACAGUUUCGCUGUACCAGCAAAUUCCCUGAUGGAUGCAGCUGACAUCGUCCAGGAGCCCUUCUUUGCCUGGGACGUCCCCAGUGUAAGCGACUCCUCUCUGGAUGAUGACAGCAGCAUCGGGUCAGGGGACUCUGUCCGAGCACUCCUGGAGAGGUACCCCCUAUCUCUUGGUUUGGAUCCUGAGGUUCAGGCAAACGGACAAGUGCCAAGGAGAGGCUGAAGUUAAUGAUGAGGAUGGCACCGGAUGUCUCCCCAACGGUAAGCAAGGAAAGGCCCAGAUCCCCGUACUUCCCAAGGCAUCCUAUAUCUUUCAUCCAGGUCCUGACCUCACCCUCUCCUGGCGCGGAUGGGCCUGCCUGGCCUCUGCUUGCCGUAGGCUGGGCUAGCUCUGCUCUCUGACCUCAGGCAUGGUUUGGGGAGCGAGGCCACUUUCAGCUGAAAACCUCUCAUUCACAAGAAUCAUCAGAGGCAGGAGAAGAAGAGGAACAUCUUGAAAGGUACAGUGUGCUUAGCUAAAGGACCUCUGAAGCCCUCCCCCCCAGGGAUUGCAGCACCCUCCCAAAGAGGAAGGGCUGAGGUGGAGCAGGGCUGGCAGCCUUCAGCCCCCUGACUCCCUCCUGCCUUGUCCCUUGUCCUGGAGGGUGGAGUCCUGCUCACGGAAAGCCAC
rnacentral:lncRNA from 1 species